rnacentral:rRNA from 1 species
UACGUAGGGGGCUAGCGUUGUCCGGAUUUAUUGGGCGUAAAGAGCGUGUAGGCGGUUAGGUAGGUCCGUUGUGAAAACUCGAGGCUCAACCUCGAGACGUCGGCGGAAACCAUCUGGCUAGAGUCCGGAAGAGGAGAGUGGAAUUCCUGGUGUAGCGGUGAAAUGCGCAGAUAUCAGGAAGAACACCCGUGGCGAAGGCGGCUCUCUGGGACGGUACUGACGCUGAGACGCGAAAGCGUGGGGAGCGAACAGG